GGACCCGCACAAGCGGUGGAGCAUGUGGUUUAAUUCGAUGCAACGCGAAGAACCUUACCUACCCUUGACAUCCAUAGAAGAACUGAGAGAUUAGUUUGUGCCUUCGGGAACUAUGAGACAGGUGCUGCAUGGCUGUCGUCAGCUCGUGUUGUGAAAUGUUGGGUUAAGUCCCGCAACGAGCGCAACCCACGUCUUUAGUUGCCAGCAUUUAGUUGGGCACUCUAGAGAGACUGCCGGUGAUAAACCGGAGGAAGGUGUGGAUGACGUCAAGUCAUCAUGCCCCUUACAUCCUGGGCUACACACGUACUACAAUGCUACGGACAAAGGGCUGCAAGUUCGCGAGGACAAGCAAAUCCCAUAAACCGUGGCUCAGUUCAGAUCGUAGGCUGCAACUCGCCUACGUGAAGGCGGAAUCGCUAGUAAUCGCAGGUC
rnacentral:rRNA from 1 species